rnacentral:misc_RNA from 1 species
GUAGGUGAACCUGCGGAAGGAUCAUUAACACGUAUCCAAACGUUAAAACCCCCCUGUGAACCUUCAAAACCAAUGCUGCUCCCUACACGUACACGGGGCAAUCUCUAGUAAAUCAUUGUCUUAAUCAGAUUUUGAGUUAGAGACUUCCCUCCAGGGGUAGGGAUUGAGCGGUCUAGUAUUAUACACGUCCCGGCGCUCCCAAGUGGCCCAUUGAUCUGAAAGUGUUCAGUGAGUUGCGUAAGAGUUGGCG